rnacentral:rRNA from 1 species
UCCUACGGGGCGCAGCAGUGAGGAAUAUUGGUCAAUGGGCGGAAGCCUGAACCAGCCAAGUCGCGUGAGGGAAUAAGGCCCUACGGGUCGUAAACCUCUUUUGCCGGGGAGCAAGGGCGGGGACGUGUCCCGGCCCGGAGAGUACCCGGAGAAAAAGCAUCGGCUAACUCCGUGCCAGCAGCCGCGGUAAUACGGAGGAUGCGAGCGUUAUCCGGAUUUAUUGGGUUUAAGGGGUGCGCAGGCGGUCUGUUAAGUCAGCGGUCAAAGCCCGGGGCUCAACCCCGGCCCGCCGUUGAAACUGGCAG